GGCGAACGGGUGAGUAAUGCUUCGGUAAAUCUGCCCAAGUGGUGGGGAAUAACCGAGCCGAAAGGUUGGCUAAUACCGCAUAAGUCCUACGGGGGAAAGCAGGGGUUAUCGCAAGACCUUGCGCCGAUGAUGAGCCGAAUCGGAUUAGCUAGUUCGUAGGGUAACGGUCUACCAAGGCGGACGAGUUCCGUAGCUGGUCUGAGAGGACGACCAGCCAGCACUGGGACUGAGCCACGGCCAAGACUCAAACGGGAGGCAGCAGUGGAGAAUAUUGGACAAUGGGGGAAACCCUGAUCCAGCGACGCCGCUGUGUGUGAAAGAAGGCCUGCGGGUGUAAAGCACUUUUAGUGGGGAUCGAACGGCUCAGGGAUAACACCUCUGGGUCUUGACCUAACCCACAGGAAAAGCACCGGCUAAACUCUGUGCCAGCCGACGGGG
rnacentral:rRNA from 1 species